AUUGAACGCUGGCGGCAGGCUUAACACAUGCAAGUCGAGCGGGGUGAUGGUGCUUGCACUAUCACUUAGCGGCGGACGGGUGAGUAAUGCUUAGGAAUCUGCCUAUUAGUGGGGGACAACAUCUCGAAAGGGAUGCUAAUACCGCAUACGUCCUACGGGAGAAAGCAGGGGAUCACUUGUGACCUUGCGCUAAUAGAUGAGCCUAAGUCGGAUUAGCUAGUUGGUGGGGUAAAGGCCUACCAAGGCGACGAUCUGUAGCGGGUCUGAGAGGAUGGUCCGCCGCACUGGGACUGGAACACGGCCCAGACUCCUACGGGAGGCAGCAGUGGGGAAUAUUGGACAAUGGGGGGAACCCUGAUCCAGCCAUGCCGCGUGUGUGAAGAAGGCCUUAUGGUUGUAAAGCACUUUAAGCGAGGAGGAGGCUACUGAGACUAAUACUCUUGGAUAGUGGACGUUACUCGCAGAAUAAGCACCGGCUAACUCUGUGCCAGCAGCCGCCGUAA
rnacentral:rRNA from 1 species